AUAUCUUUCUAGACCUUUUAGCUAAGAUUAAGUAUAGUAUCCGUUUUUAUCGGUUUAAUAUUUGAUAUGUGUUCUUAUCGGAUUGUGCUAUAUUAAAUUAUUGUUUUCAUGAGGGAGCUCACAUCACAUGAUUUAUCAUGCGUACAUAUCCUCCUAUAACUAGAGGUGAGCAUGGGCCAGUUUUUGCCUC